GAUGAACGCUAGCGGGAGGCCUAACACAUGCAAGCCGAGCGGUAGAGUCUCUUCGGAGACUUGAGAGCGGCGCACGGGUGCGGAACACGUGUGCAACCUGCCUUUAUCUGGGGGAUAGCCUUUCGAAAGGAAGAUUAAUACCCCAUAAUAUACUGGAUGGCAUCAUCUGGUAUUGAAAACUCCGGUGGAUAGAGAUGGGCACGCGCAAGAUUAGAUAGUUGGUGAGGUAACGGCUCACCAAGUCAGCGAUCUUUAGGGGGCCUGAGAGGGUGAUCCCCCACACUGGUACUGAGACACGGACCAGACUCCUACGGGAGGCAGCAGUGAGGAAUAUUGGACAAUGGGUGAGAGCCUAAUCCAGCCAUCCCGCGUGAAGGACGACGGCCCUAUGGGUUGUAAACUUCUUUUGUAUAGGGAUAAACCUAGAUACGUGUAUCUAGCUGAAGGUACUAUACGAAUAAGCACCGGCUAACUCCGCG
rnacentral:rRNA from 1 species